rnacentral:rRNA from 1 species
AAGCUUGCUUUCUUUGCUGACGAGUGGCGGACGGGUGAGUAAUGCUUGGGGAUCUGGCUUAUGGAGGGGGAUAACGACGGGAAACUGUCGCUAAUACCGCGUAAUGUCUAAGGACUAGAGGGUGGGACUUUCGGGCCACCUGCCAUAAGAUGAGCCCAAGUGGGAUUAGGUAGUUGGUGGGGUAAAGGCCUACCAAGCCGACGAUCUCUAGCUGGUCUGAGAGGAUGACCAGCCACACUGGAACUGAGACACGGUCCAGACUCCUACGGGAGGCAGCAGUGGGGAAUAUUGCACAAUGGGGGGAACCCUGAUGCAGCCAUGCCGCGUGAAUGAAGAAGGCCUUCGGGUUGUAAAGUUCUUUCGGUGAUGAGGAAGGGUGAUGUUUUAAUAGAGCAUUACAUUGACGUUAGUCACAGAAGAAGCACCGGCUAACUCCGUGCCAGCAGCCGCGGUAAUACGGAGGGUGCGAGCGUUAAUCGGAAUGACUGGGCGUAAAGGGCACGCAGGCGGUGACUUAAGUGAGAUGUGAAAGCCCCGAGCUUAACUUGGGAAUUGCAUUUCAUACUGGGUGGCUAGAGUAUUUUAGGGAGGGGUAGAAUUCCACGUGUAGCGGUGAAAUGCGUAGAGAUGUGGAGGAAUACCGAAGGCGAAGGCAGCCCCUUGGGAAAAUACUGACGCUCAUGUGCGAAAGCGUGGGGAGCAAACAGGAUUAGAUACCCUGGUAGUCCACGCUGUAAACGCUGUCGAUUUGGGGAUUGGGCUUAGAGCUUGGUGCCCGUAGCUAACGUGAUAAAUCGACCGCCUGGGGAGUACGGCCGCAAGGUUAAAACUCAAAUGAAUUGACGGGGGCCCGCACAAGCGGUGGAGCAUGUGGUUUAAUUCGAUGCAACGCGAAGAACCUUACCUACUCUUGACAUCCUAAGAAG